GCGGUAUGCCUAACACAUGCAAGUCGUACGAGAGUUUUUAACUCAAGUGGCGGACGGGUGAGUAACGCGUAUACAAUCUACCUUUUGCUGAGGGAUAGCCCAGAGAAAUUUGGAUUAAUACCUCAUGGUAUUAUUGAUAGGCAUCUAUUAAUAAUUAAAGGUUACGGCAAAAGAUGAGUAUGCGUCCCAUUAGCUAGUUGGUGAAGUAACGGUUCACCAAGGCAACGAUGGGUAGGGGUCCUGAGAGGAUGAUC
rnacentral:rRNA from 1 species